rfam:Cavia porcellus supercont2_26 genomic scaffold, whole genome shotgun sequence.
UGGCACCCAAUGUGGGGCUCCUGGCACAAAGGGCUCAAUGAGGGAGCCGUCCUGAGACGUGCGUGUAAGAGUUUUGUGACCAAUGCUACGCGGGAGCCUACCACACCACUAGAGUCAUGGUAAUGGACGGCGAUCCUUUCCCUUUUUUUCUGGCAUGGGUCAGGCAUUAAGUGAUCAUAAAUGCUUUGUGUCAGGUUUAAAUAAAGCUUUAAAGACAAGAGGGAUAAAGGCUAAAGAAAAAGAUUUAUUGCAGUACUUUCAAUUUAUUCAUAAGGUUUGCCCUU